UUUCUCAUGUUCUUUCUUUCUAUCUUGAAUUGUUAUUACGUUUUGGCUAAGUCGUCCGUUUGCAGAAAUUGGAGGUUAACUUUGUUUCGUAGAAGACGAUUUGUUAGGUUGCUAGAUGUCUUAAGAUAAUUGAUUUUGAUUUUAAUUGUUUUUUUGUUAAUUUAAGUUAGUUGUUGAAUUUAUUUAGCUAUGUGGAAUGCUUUUGUUUUGGUUAUCAUUAGGUUGUUCCAAAAUCAUGCUGAUUGUGGCCUGGUUCGAAAUGGAUUGGGGCCUGCCUUGUUUGACAGGCAGGUCUAUUGAGUAUUAAAUCCCAAAGACAUAAAAUGCUUGUUGAUGCAAAAAGAAAACUAAGAGAGUAUAUACAGGGGUGAUAAAGGGUAAUUUAGGUUUUGAACCAGCAGAAUCUUUUCUGUUACACCUUAGGAAGCUUCUAGAAAAAGGGUUAAAGGGCAAUAAAAUGAAAGAAUUAGGUCUGAUUUGGGUAAAAGAGGUGAUUUUCAGAAGCUAAAGGUUUAAGAAAUAAAAAGAAAUAUCUGGAAAUAGGACAGCUGUCCAAUUCAGUUGCAAAAGAUGCCAUUUUCCUAAAUUUUAGGAGGCUGACGGAUUCUUUUCUAGGCCUUAUCUCAUUUUCCCAUAGAGCAUAUGCAUAUUCUAUAAAAGGGUACUCUUCCUCAUAUUCUCACACGUUUUUUUGCAUAUCUACUCACAAAUACACUGGAUUUUACACUGUUACUCUGAUUUUCACCGAGUUCUCUGAAAAAGAAACAAUCUGGAAAAUAGAGAAAAUUCCAAACUUUCCUCUAUUUUGUCUUCUUGCUUCAUCUCGUUGGGGUUUUACAAGUUUGAUUGACCUUCAAGACCUGGGUUUUACUGCUGUCUGCUGAGCUUCGAGUUUGAAUCAGAUUAUGUUCUUAUUUGGAUAUCUUAGUGUUUUCUUGCUUAACUAGAUUUAGCAAUAGCGCUAAACAUAAAGCUAUUAUAGUUUUCUGUAUAUGUGAUGAGUAAUUUUGUGCCAUUUCGAGGAUAUAGAAGGCUUUUGCUGCUUGAUCAUAUGGCUAUAGUUUGCGGAUUUGGCUACUAAUUGGCCAAAUCAGCAAAAUUCUAAGCCAAAGAAUGGGAUUCUGUCGCUGGUAGUAUGCUGAAGGUUAACUACUUCAUGUUGUGGAUUGAGGUUUAUGUGGAUAGAUUAGAUCCGAAUUGGAAAGUAUUCAUUAGUUUAGCAAUUUCAUGGAGAAUUGUAAUAGAAGUGAUUGAUGUUUUAAAGUUCGUAUUCUGAUUCUUGUAUAAAAAUUAGUUGUAAUUCUUGAAUGUCAGAUAAGCAUGUCUUCCUAUUUAAAGUGGUUUGUAGUUGUUUUCACUUUAGCACUAAUGCACGAGAAAAAUAUGUUUUACAGUAUCUUUCACUAAAAGCAAAUUUGGUCUUUCAA